rnacentral:lncRNA from 1 species
GCGGGGCUCAGUUUACAGGUACGCGGGCCGAUGGCGAAGAGCGCUGUCAAGCGGCCUCGAGGAUUUCGGGGGGUUUGCGCCGCCGAGGAAACCCUACCCGGACGAGGCGAGCAGCCUGGUGGCGCUGGCGGCCGCGAGCUCCCGGCUGCCACCGCUUCCGAGGGCAAACCCGGGCGGCACAGCCGUGCGCCCUGGGCUCCGCGCGCCCAAGGAAAGGGCUUCCCAGUCACCCUGCGGCGACGCUUCUCCCUCCCGGGAAGGACACCUUCGCUCGCUCUCACACAGCCAAGCCGUUGGAGAGGCAGAAACGGGCGUUGGCAGUGGAGUAACAAAGACGCUGCCGCGCCGUUGACCCCGAAGAAGCUCUGAUGAAAAGGAGGGCGGGCCGCGGGAUAGGAGUUUCUACAAUUAGUUUUUUCUGCCUUUACGUUCCCAAGAAGAAGCCGAGGAAGUAGAAAGGAGAGAGAUCUGGGAAAGGAGGCUUCCUCACCCCCUGCCCCCUUCGAUUCCUAGGAGGGGCGGCCCCAGCCCUCGGAGCCGAUUCUCGGCGCUGCGCUAGGACAUCAGAGGCGAUACAGGUUCGAUGUUAAAUGAACCUUCAGGCCGCGGGACAAUGGCGCAGACCUCACACGGGGGCACCGCGCCUUCCCCCAGCCGUGCUCGGGUGGAAUCCUCCGCGUCUCCUACAGCCGCCGAACCAAUGGGCAGACCGGGGAGAGCGGGACGCGCAGGAGAGGGUUUGAAAGGAGAGGGAAAUUAUUACAUCACUAGAAAAUAAUGCCAGAGCGGGGGUCUGCCGCCCUUUUGAAGUCCUGCUGCAACGAAACAUGAUUUUAAUUACAUAAUCACUUUGAAACUAUAAUUAUACAAUAAACGAUGAGGAUUAAGCGGGAAGUAUAGAGUACAUUAAAAAUUGCUUAGGUCUUGAAAAAACAAACUGAACAUGCAGGGGGAAAAGAAAGAGAUGAAAUCCGA